rnacentral:rRNA from 1 species
UAAGCGGAGGAAAAGAAACUAACUAGGAUUCCCUUAGUAACGGCGAGUGAACCGGGAAAAGCUCAAAUUUGUAAUCUGGCUGUCUUCGAUAGUCCGAGUUGUAAUCUAUAGACGUGUUUUCCGUGCUGGACCGUAUCUAAGUCCCUUGGAACAGGGUAUCAAAGAGGGUGACAAUCCCGUGCUUGAUACGACCACCAGUGCUCUGUGAUACACGCUCUACGAGUCGAGUUGUUUGGGAAUGCAGCUCAAAAUGGGUGGUAAAUUCCAUCUAAAGCUAAAUAUUGGCGAGAGACCGAUAGCGAACAAGUACCGUGAGGGAAAGAUGAAAAGCACUUUGGAAAGAGAGUUAAACAGUACGUGAAAUUGUUGAAAGGGAAACGAUUGAAGUCAGUCGUGUUCUUUGGAUUCAGCUAGUUCUUCUAGUCUACUUCCAUUGAACGGGUCAACAUCAGUUUUGUCCGGUGGAUAAAGAUAGUAGGAAUGUAGCUCCCCCGGGAGUGUUAUAGACUAUUAUUGCAUACACUGGGUGAGACUGAGGACUGCAGCUCGCCUUUUGGCCGGUCUUCGGACACGUUCGAGCUUAGGAUGUUGACAUAAUGGCUUUAAACGACCCGUCUUGAAACAC